AUUGAACGCUGGCGGCAGGCCUAACACAUGCAAGUCGAGCGGAUGAAGGGAGCUUGCUCCUGGAUUCAGCGGCGGACGGGUGAGUAAUGCCUAGGAAUCUGCCUGGUAGUGGGGGAUAACGUCCGGAAACGGGCGCUAAUACCGCAUACGUCCUGAGGGAGAAAGUGGGGGAUCUUCGGACCUCACGCUAUCAGAUGAGCCUAGGUCGGAUUAGCUAGUUGGUGGGGUAAAGGCCUACCAAGGCGACGAUCCGUAACUGGUCUUAGAGGAUGAUCAGUCACACUGGAACUGAGACACGGUCCAGACUCCUACGGGAGGCAGCAGUGGGGAAUAUUGGACCAUGGGCGAAAGCCUGAUCCAGCCAUGCCGCGUGUGUGAAGAAGGUCUUCGGAUUGUAAAGCACUUUAAGUUGGGAGGAAGGGCAGUAAGUUAAUACCUUGCUGUUUUGACGUUACCAACAGAAUAAGCACCGGCUAACUUCGUG
rnacentral:rRNA from 1 species